GUUAGUGUCCAUGGCUCAUAUUACCACUAAAACCCAUGCAGAUGUCCAAGAGCUGUGUAGAGAGUAGCAGAGCUGACCCUGCCUCUUGACUACAGCACCAUUGAAUGAGCUAGCCUUGGCAGUACUAGAGAACUCGUCCUGGAGGUAUGGGUCCAAUAGAUCUGGCAGGCUGAUCAACUCAGCUACUGCCCUGGCCCAGAUCCAGGAUUUGAAUUGGCUCAUGCCAACAUCUGCAGUCUAUUGGAGCACAUGAAAGUGCCUGUCCUGCAGAUCCAAAGCUGCAUGAUCUCCAUGACACAGGGCAACAACAGGACAUCCAAGAGGAAUCCCAGUGAGGAUCCAGUAUUGAUAGCUGCAACAGAAGCCAGAGACCUCAAACCAGACCAAUGAUUAAUUGCAGUGAAUAUUUGCAUGUAAGGAUAUGUGGACAAAAUGUCACACUGUGACACACUAUAGUUCCCAUAAGAUGUCUUUUCUGUUUUGUUUUAGUGUUUAUUAUUUUUGUUUUUAAAUUUUUGUAGGGAAAGUUUCAAGGGCAGAGGGAAGAUAUGAUGGGUCAAGGAGAUUAAUGGGAUUGGGUGAAUAGUGUGAAACCCACAAAAUAAUCAAUAAAAAGUUG
rnacentral:lncRNA from 1 species